ACUCCUGCGGGAGGCAGCAGUGGGGAAUUUUGGACAAUGGGCGAAAGCCUGAUCCAGCAAUGCCGCGUGAGUGAAGAAGGCCUUCGGGUUGUAAAGCUCUUUUGUCAGGGAAGAAACGGUGAGAGCUAAUAUCUCUUGCUAAUGACGGUACCUGAAGAAUAAGCACCGGCUAACUACGUGCCAGCAGCCGCGGUAAUACGUAGGGUGCAAGCGUUAAUCGGAAUUACUGGGCGUAAAGCGUGCGCAGGCGGUUUUGUAAGUCUGAUGUGAAAUCCCCGGGCUCAACCUGGGAAUUGCAUUGGAGACUGCAAGGCUAGAAUCUGGCAGAGGGGGGUAGAAUUCCACGUGUAGCAGUGAAAUGCGUAGAUAUGUGGAGGAACACCGAUGGCGAAGGCAGCCCCCUGGGUCAAGAUUGACGCUCAUGCACGAAAGCGUGGGGAGCAAACAGGAUUAGAAACCCGUGUAGUCCCA
rnacentral:rRNA from 1 species